GCCAGGUGUGGUGGUGCACACCUGUAAUCCUAGUACGCUUGGGAGGCUGAGGCAGGAGAAUCGCUUGAACUUGGGAGGCGGGGGCUGCAGUGAGCUGAGUCAUGCCACUGCACUCCAGCCUGAGUGACAGAGCAAGACUCUGUCUCAA
rnacentral:SRP_RNA from 1 species